AUGUGCAUGAACAAUCUCUGCUCGGAAGUGGCUGUCCAGUUACAAGGGGUGAGGCCCCUCACGUUUGAAGAGUUAGCUUCAAAAUCCACGGAUAUAGAAAAUUUUAUGCAGCUUGUCGCUCGUCGAACAAAAACGACGUUCAACAAGCCUACAGACAAAGGUGGUCAAUGUGAAAAGUUGCCGAUGAAACCCAAGUCUGCACAAGCCAUGAAGACGACAGCGGUAAAACCUCAGUUUCAGCCCGGAAGGGCACCUAUAGGGAACCAAGGACAGCGAGAUGCUCAGGUCGCUAGGAGGCCAACUCUCAGUGAACGAAAAAACAGGGAGUAUUCUUUUCCUGUAGAAGAAAUUGAUGAUCUUUUCACUGGUUUAAAGGAGUUGAGCCUUAUAGAACUUCCCAAGCCCAAAAGGCCAGAAGAAGCUUCAAAAUUUAGUGACCCGAAUUUCUGUCACUACCAUCGCAUUUUGGGCCAUACACUCAAAGAUUGCUUUGUUGUGAAGAAUAUCAUCCAGAAAAUGAUCGAUGAGGGGACUAUUGAUGCGGAUCUCCUCAAAAGCAUGACAAAGGGAAAGAAAAAGGCUUCAGCAAAUGUCGCCACCCUCCAGGAUGACGCGGCCUUGCCAAAUCGCAAGAUCAGCAUAAAGGAGAGGCUUACAUUCCCUUCAGCAAUGGUGCAGCCCAAGGUUGGGGGCCACGGCAGUCAAAACGCCGUGUACUACCCCAAGUGA
rnacentral:rRNA from 1 species